AACGAACGCUGGCGGCAGGCCUAACACAUGCAAGUCGAGCGAGGACUUCGGUCCUAGCGGCGGACGGGUGAGUAACGCGUGGGAACGUGCCCUUUGCUUCGGAAUAGCCCUGGGAAACUGGGAGUAAUACCGGAUGAGCCCUUUGGGGGAAAGAUUUAUCGGCGAAGGAUCGGCCGCGUUGGAUUAGGUAGUUGGUGGGGUAAUGGCCUACCAAGCCGACGAUCCAUAGCUGGUUUGAGAGGAUGAUCAGCCACACUGGGACUGAGACACGGCCCAGACUCCUACGGGAGGCAGCAGUGGGGAAUCUUAGACAAUGGGGGAAACCCUGAUCUAGCCAUGCCGCGUAAGCGAUGAAGGCCUUAGGGUUGUAAAGCUCUUUCAGCUGGGAAGAUAAUGACGGUACCAGCAGAAGAAGCCCCGGCUAACUCCGUG
rnacentral:rRNA from 1 species